AUUCAACAAUUAUAAUAAUAGAAAUACUUGUUGUCACUUACAAAUCAAAAAAUGAUAAGAUUUUUUCUUUGUAAUAAAAAAAAAAAUAAUUUGUAAUGUGUAUAUAUAUAUAUAUAUAUAUAUUUGUCAUAUAAUAUAGACAUUAAUAUUAGUAGUUGAACAAUACACAAUACAAUAUGUUGUAUAAUAUGUUAAAAUUAUUAUUACAACGAUGUCUACCAAAAAAAGAAAAUUAUCCAAAAAUUCAUCAAUAUUUAGCUGGAAUAUAUGCAUUUAGUGCAUGGACUGCUGCUAUAUAUGUGUUUUAUCUAUCAAUACACGAAUCCUUACCUACAACUCCAGAACGAAGGCAAAAAUUUACAGAAAAAUUAGAAAAAGGAAAGAAAAUAGAAUAUAUAAAAAUUGAUGG